rnacentral:rRNA from 1 species
GACGAACGCUGGCGGCGUGCCUAAUACAUGCAAGUCGAACGCAGUGGGGACGGGUGAGUAACCCGUGGGUAACCUCCCAUCAGAGGAGAUAACAUUUGGCCACAGGUGCUAAACCGAUACUGAUGGAUGGACCCGCGUUGGAUUAGCUAGUUGGUGGGGUAACGGCUCACCAAGGCCACGAUGCAUCGCUGGUCUGAGAGGGUGAUCGGUCACACUGGGACUGAGACACGGCCCAGACUCCUACGGGAGGCAGCAGUAGGGAAUCUUCGGCAAUGGGCGAAAGCCUGACCGAGCCACGCCGCGUGUGUGAAGAAGGUUUUCGGAUCGUAAAACUCUGUUGUUAGGGAGGCGGUAUCUAACCAGAAAGCCACGGCUAACUACGUGCCAGCAGCCGCGGUAAUUC